CCCAUACCUGUCAACUCAUACGGUUUAGCCAUAGUUCAUACGGAUUUUGUGGUGAAUCUUACGUAUAUGGCCGUAUCGCACAAAUCAUACGGAUUCUGAAAAUUAACGCAGGAAUACAACUCUGAACACAGAAAUGCCACUAAGUAGAAUGAUGAUUAGACAUUAACCAGACAUUGUAUUAUGGAUAUCUACAAUAAAUAUCAUUGAAAAUUU